AAGGACACAUGAGGUGGCCAAUCAGAAUUAUGAUAUUUGGCAGCCUCUUUUUUUUUUGACCGGCCUCAUCACCAGGGUUAAGGAGGGCCAGAAAGGGUGUCGAGUUGAGUGGUCUCAACGGACGAUCAGCAAAAAUAUCUCCACCAGACAUCUGGACUUUCCUGGAGAAGGACGUUCAGCUCCCAACGAGGCGAAG